AGUUCAUCAUCAAAUGCAAGGCAGUAGGCUUUCAACUCACGGUCUGUCUCCCGAUUCAUUCGUUGUCCUAUCAUAAAUGCAGAAAGAAGUGACUCACUUACAUUAGAUGAUCCCAUUUCUUCUACUUUCAAUGGAAGGAUGUCUUUUAGAACACCUUGAACUUCCUCGUAUCCAAGAUGACCCCCAGCCAAAACCUCCCUGAGGGCACCAACUAGUCUCAUCUCGGCAGUACUAUUUCCAACAAAUUUGGGGCCUAUUGAACUGCCAAUUCCCAUUAUUGAGUCUUCUGGAUCAGCG
rnacentral:misc_RNA from 1 species